UGAAGCCAAACGAGCGUAAUUUUAUGAGUUGUGAGUCGCGAAAUUUCUGUCGCGUAAUUUCUGCUGCAUUCGGUUUCAUACAAAAAUGCAGUUUUUACCACACGACGACGCAAAAUGAGUUGUCUGCCGACUCACGCGCAUAAACUCGACCGAAUUUCUGUCGGGGCGAGGGAGGGGUGCUGCGGAGAGCGGUCAGCGGGGCCAGUUCGUUACGGGAUGUGUUUUAUGUGAUGUAAUAAUUCUUGAAAAACAUGUAAUGGCAUAUGGUAGUAGUUUUUAAACAUAUCUGGAUUUGCACAUACACGUUCAUAUAAUAUAUGGAACUGUCCACAUAUCAGCCUCUCACUAUUGAGUGGGUUUACCCAGCUUCUUUUUCUGGUAUCAUCUUCUGAAUAAGUAUCUUCUGAAUAUGCUUCAUAAAUACACAAUAUUUUCAAUGGAUCCAUCGCACUUGACAACACAAACACCCUGUACCAACGCUCGGUAGUAACUGAAUAAAUUACGUCCGUCUGGCAGCUUAACAGAAAUUCAGUUGAACGUAAAAUAAGUUACCGAAAAUACGCGACUCACAACUCAUAAAAUUACGCUCGUUUGGCUUCAGCCUUA
rnacentral:lncRNA from 1 species